UAGGGAAUCUUCGGCAAUGGACGGAAGUCUGACCGAGCAACGCCGCGUGAGUGAAGAAGGUUUUCGGAUCGUAAAGCUCUGUUGUAAGAGAAGAGCGAGUGUGAGAGUGGAAAGUUCACACUGUGACGGUAUCUUACCAGAAAGGGACGGCUAACUACGUGCCAGCAGCCGCGGUAAUACGUAGGUCCCGAGCGUUGUCCGGAUUUAUUGGGCGUAAAGCGAGCGCAGGCGGUUAGAUAAGUCUGAAGUUAAAGGCUGUGGCUUAACCAUAGUAGGCUUUGGAAACUGUUUAACUUGAGUGCAAGAGGGGAGAGUGGAAUUCCAUGUGUAGCGGUGAAAUGCGUAGAUAUAUGGAGGAACACCGGUGGCGAAAGCGGCUCUCUGGCUUGUAACUGACGCUGAGGCUCGAAAGCGUGGGGAGCAAACAGGAUUAGAUACCCUGGUAGUCCACGCUGUAAACGAUGAGUGCUAGGUGUUAGACCCUUUCCGGGGUUUAGUGCCGUAGCUAACGCAUUAAGCACUCCGCCUGGGGAGUACGACCGCAAGGUUG
rnacentral:rRNA from 1 species